GUAAAUGCAUCCCUCCAAAAUGUAGCUGACUGUCUUCUGCAGGUUGUCCUCUAACCAGUGAAGUAAAAGAUAUCGCCCGUUUCCAUGUGUAUUUUUUUGUUGUGUUAGUUUCAACAGCACGUACAAUCUGAUUUUCCCCCCUAAUCGAUAUUAGUGAUUUAUUGCCACUUGUCAAAACAACAGUGUUUUUGGUGCUUGUGCAGUUAAUAAGGUGGUUGUUUAAAUGAAUACAAGUAUUAUGAU